ACAACUUUUAACGGUGGAUCUCUAGGCUCGUGCAUCGAUGAAGAACGCAGCGAAAUGCGAUACGUAGUGUGAAUUGCAGAUCUUCGUGAGUCAUCGAAUCUUUGAACGC
rnacentral:rRNA from 1 species